AGCAGCCGCGGUAAUUCCAGCUCCAAUAGCGUAUAUUAAAGUUGUUGCAGUUAAAAAGCUCGUAGUUGAAUUUCGGGGUUCUACCGUUGGUCGGGCUAUUGUCUGUACUGGCGUGUAGAAUUUCUACCUUCUGGGGAACCACCAUGUUAUUAAUUUAGCGUGACGGGAAACCAGGACCUUUACCUUGAAAAAAUUAGAGUGUUCAAAGCAGGCUUACGCCUGAAUACAUUAGCAUGGAAUAAUAAAAUAGGACGGUGGUCCUGUUUUGUUGGUUUCUGAAUCACCGUAAUGAUUAAUAGGGAUAGUUGGGGGCAUUAGUAUUCAAUUGUCAGAGGUGAAAUUCUUGGAUUUUAUUGAAGACUAACUUCUGCGAAAGCAUUUGCCAAGGAUGUUUCAUUAUCAAGAACGAAGUUAGGGGAUCGAAGACGAUCAGAUACCGUCGUAGUCUUAACCAUAAACUAUGACCGACUAGGGAUCGGACGAUAGUUAAAUAUUAUUGUACUCGUUCGGCGUCCGUUAC
rnacentral:rRNA from 1 species